UACGGGGGGGGCAAGCGUUGUUCGGAAUUACUGGGCGUAAAGGGCUCGUAGGCGGCCAACUAAGUCAGACGUGAAAUCCCUCGGCUUAACCGGGGAACUGCGUCUGAUACUGGAUGGCUGGAGAUUGGGAGAGGGAUGCGGAAUUCCAGGUGUAGCGGUGAAAUGCGUAGAUAUCUGGAGGAACACCGGUGGCGAAGGCGGCUACCUGGCCCAACAUUGACGCUGAGACCCGAAAGCAUGGGGAUCAAACAGGG
rnacentral:rRNA from 1 species